AGAGUUUGAUCAUGGCUCAGAACGAACGCUGGCGGCGUGCUUAACACAUGCAAGUCGAACGGAAUUAGGGGCUUGCUCCUAAUUUAGUGGCGCACGGGUGAGUAACGCGUGGAUAACCUACCCUGGUAUCUGGGAUAACAUCUCGAAAGGGGUGCUAAUACCGGAUAAGCCCACGGGAACUUUGGUUCUUGCGGGAAAAGGUGGCCUCUAUUUAUAAGCUACUGUAUCAGGAUGGGUCCGCGUACCAUUAGCUAGUUGGUAGUGUAAUGGACUACCAAGGCUACGAUGGUUAGCUGGUCUGAGAGGAUGAUCAGCCACACUGGAACUGAGACACGGUCCAGACUCCUACGGGAGGCAGCAGUGGGGAAUUUUGCGCAAUGGGGGAAACCCUGACGCAGCAACGCCGCGUGAGUGAUGAAGGCCUUCGGGUCGUAAAGCUCUGUCAGAGGGGAAGAAGUGUAUGGGUGCUAAUACCAUCUAUACUUGACGGUACCCUCAAAGGAAGCACCGGCUAACUCCGUGCCAGCAGCCGCGGU
rnacentral:rRNA from 1 species